rnacentral:rRNA from 1 species
AUUGAACGCUGGCGGCAUGCCUUACACAUGCAAGUCGAACGGCAGCACGGACUUCGGUCUGGUGGCGAGUGGCGAACGGGUGAGUAAUGUAUCGGAACGUACCUUUCAGUGGGGGAUAACGUAGCGAAAGUUACGCUAAUACCGCAUAUUCUGUGAGCAGGAAAGCAGGGGAUCGACAGACCUUGCGCUGAUUGAGCGGCCGAUAUCAGAUUAGCUAGUUGGUGGGGUAAAGGCCUACCAAGGCGACGAUCUGUAGCGGGUCUGAGAGGAUGAUCCGCCACACUGGAACUGAGACACGGUCCAGACUCCUACGGGAGGCAGCAGUGGGGAAUUUUGGACAAUGGGGGCAACCCUGAUCCAGCCAUGCCGCGUGAGUGAAGAAGGCCUUCGGGUUGUAAAGCUCUUUCGGCCGGGAAGAAAUCGCAUAGGCUAAUACCCUGUGUGGAUGACGGUACCGGAAGAAGAAGCACCGGCUAACUACGUG